rnacentral:misc_RNA from 1 species
AACGAGGCCGACCUGCGGCUGAGUUACCUGCGGAGGGAUCAUUACAGAGUUGCAAAACUCCCUAAACCAUUGUGAACGUUACCUAAACCGUUGCUUCGGCGGGCGGCCCGGGUCCUUCCCGGCGCCCCUCGGCCCUCGCGGGCGCCCGCCGGAGGUAAACCAAACUAUUGCAUUGUAUGGCCUCUCUGAGUCUUCUGUACUGAAUAAGUCAAAACUUUCAACAACGGAUCUCAGAUCGGA